rnacentral:rRNA from 1 species
GACGAACGCUGGCGGCGUGCCUAAUACAUGCAAGUAGAACGCACAGUUUAUACCGUAGCUUGCUACACCAUAAACUGUGAGUUGCGAACGGGUGAGUAACGCGUAGGUAACCUGCCUGGUAGCGGGGGAUAACUAUUGGAAACGAUAGCUAAUACCGCAUAAUAUUGAUUAUUGCAUGAUAAUUGAUUGAAAGAUGCUAUUGCAUCACUACCAGAUGGACCUGCGUUGUAUUAGCUAGUAGGUGAGGUAACGGCUCACCUAGGCGACGAUACAUAGCCGACCUGAGAGGGUGAUCGGCCACACUGGGACUGAGACACGGCCUAGACUCCUACGGGAGGCAGCAGUAGGGAAUCUUCGGCAAUGGACGAAAGUCUGACCGAGCAACGCCGCGUGAGUGAAGAAGGUUUUCGGAUCGUAAAGCUCUGUUGUAAGAGAAGAACGGGUGUGAGAGUGGAAAGUUCACACUGUGACGGUAUCUUACCAGAAAGGGACGGCUAACUACGUG